rnacentral:rRNA from 1 species
CGGACGGGUGAGUAACGCGUGGAAAACCUGCCGUAUACUGGGGGAUAACACUUAGAAAUAGGUGCUAAUACCGCAUAAGCGCACAGCUUUGCAUGAAGCAGUGUGAAAAACUCCGGUGGUAUACGAUGGUUCCGCGUCUGAUUAGCUAGUUGGUGAGGUAAAAGCCCACCAAGGCGACGAUCAGUAGCCGGCCUGAGAGGGUGAACGGCCACAUUGGGACUGAGACACGGCCCAGACUCCUACGGGAGGCAGCAG